AUGGGGGGUCCCUUGUAUAAACACCAUCCCGGCUGGAGCGAGGACUCUCAAGACACCUUAAAGGAGUAUUUCACAUUGCCAAGCCUGAUCCAAGCUCCUGUCUUAAGCAAGACUCAUGGUUCCCUGAAUGCCUUAUUUUGGAAAAAAAAAUGGAGGAUACCUCCUGUCUUAAGCAAGGCUCAUGGUUCCCUGAAUGCCUUAUUUUGGGGGGAAAAUGGAGGAUACAUCACGGAACAACACAGGUGGGGGGCAAAUUGCGUAUUUGCACUAAACUUUGGAUCAGGGAUGUGGAACACAAUCUAUUAGAAACUAUUUAACCAAAUUCACGAUUAGCCCAUGCCAACAGAACCAUUGUUAGGGGAAGAAUAUUGAUUUAUUAUUUUUAUUUAUUUAAUUAAUUUAUAUGCCGCCCACUCUACCCAAAGGUCUCUGGGCGGCUUACAACAAUUAAAAUUCAAUACAAUAAAAUAUAAAAUGAUUAAAAUACA
rnacentral:lncRNA from 1 species